CUUUCGACCUCUGGUAGCUAC
rnacentral:piRNA from 1 species